rnacentral:rRNA from 1 species
CGCGUAGGCGGUUCGGCAAGUCUCUAGUGAAAUCUCUGGGCUCAACUCAGAGUCUGCUGGGGAAACUGCCGGGCUUGAGUGUGGGAGAGGAGAGUGGAAUUCCCGGUGCAGCGGUGAAAUGCGUAGAUAUCGGGAGGAACACCUGUGGCGAAAGCGGCUCUCUGGACCACAACUGACGCUGAGGCGCGAAAGCUAGGGGAGCAAACA